AGAUUGAACGCUGGCGGCAUGCCUUACACAUGCAAGUCGAACGGUAGAGUAGCAAUACUUGAGAGUGGCGAACGGGUGAGUAAUAUAUCGGAACGUGCCCAGUCGUGGGGGAUAACGUAGAGAAAUUUACGCUAAUACCGCAUACGAUCUAAGGAUGAAAGCGGGGGACCGUAAGGCCUCGCGCGAUUGGAGCGGCUGAUAUCAGAUUAGGUUGUUGGUGAGGUAAAAGCUCACCAAGCCGACGAUCUGUAGCUGGCUUGAGAGAACGACCAGCCACACUGGGACUGAGACACGGCCCAGACUCCUACGGGAGGCAGCAGGUGGGGAAUUUUGGACAAGUGGGCGAAAGCCUGAUCCAGCAAUGCCGCGUGCAGGAAGAAGGCCUUCGGUUAUAAAGUGUCGUUUUGUACGGAACGAAAC
rnacentral:rRNA from 1 species